rnacentral:ncRNA from 1 species
AUGAUCUCGCCGCCGGGUGAGGACGCUGAAAAAAAAGCAGCGCCGGAUUUCGUAUCGUUAGGCCAUUGAAGAUGCGGAAUGCGGCGCUUUUUGUUU